rnacentral:tRNA from 1 species
GGGUCGGUAGCGAAGUGGUCAAACGCACCUGACUGUAAAUCAGGCAGCCCUGCUUUCGGAGGUUCGAAUCCUCCUCGGCCCA